rnacentral:rRNA from 1 species
GCAAAACGCGAAGAACCUUACCAGGGCUUGACAUCCCUCUGACCGGGUUAGAGAUAACCCUUCCCUUCGGGGCAGAGGAGACAGGUGGUGCAUGGUUGUCGUCAGCUCGUGUCGUGAGAUGUUGGGUUAAGUCCCGCAACGAGCGCAACCCCUGUUGUUAGUUGCCAGCAUUAAGUUGGGCACUCUAGCAAGACUGCCGGUGACAAAUCGGAGGAAGGUGGGGAUGACGUCAAAUCAUCAUGCCCCUUAUGUCCUGGGCUACACACGUACUACAAUGGCGACUACAGAGUGAGGCAAGACCGCGAGGUGGAGCAAAUCACUAAAAGUCGUCCCAGUUCAGAUUGCAGGCUGCAACUCGCCUGCAUGAAGUCGGAAUUGCUAGUAAUGGCAGGUCAGCAUACUGCCGUGAAUACGUUCUCGGGUCUUGUACACACCG